rnacentral:lncRNA from 1 species
GAAGAGCUGCCUGGGCUGCAGCCGCGGAAGCUGCGUUCUGGGGAGCGGGGAGCGUGCUCCGGCGCCUUCGGGCCGCUGCUGGAAGCCGGAACCGAGCCCGGGCCGCUGCCCCUCACCGGACGCCGCGCGCCACCGGCCCUCCGCGGGGCAGGGGCUGCUGCGAGCUCGCCGGGCGCCCUUUAGACGUAAGUCUCACCCUGCGCCCCGAGGCAGGAAGGAGCGCGUGCAGUCCCGGCCAGAAACGGCUAAUAGGAAGGGCUGAGGGGUUCUGUGUUCAAGGCAGAAGGCCGUGCGUCAGGGCGGCCCUCAGCGGAGAUGCGUGCACGGAGCGGGGAGCGCCGCUCGGGGCAGGGAAUGAAAGCGGCGCUUGAGACUGGAAAUUUAGGGAGAUGAGUUCCUUGGGAACAACGCUGAACCAUCUCACUGCCCCACCCUACCCCUUGUUAUUUUUUUUUGAGACAGGUCUCGCGCUGUCGUCCAGUCUGAGUGCAGUGACGCGAUCACGGCUCACUGCAGCCUCGACCUCCGGGGCUUACGGGUCAUCCCACCUCAGCCCUCUAAGUAGCUGGCACCACGGGCAUGCACCACCACACCCGGCUAAUUUUUUAAAAAAAGUUUUUCCGGAGAUAGGGUCUCGCUGUGUUACCCAGGCUGGUCUCGAACCCCUGGCCUGAAGCGAUCCUCCCGCCUCGGCCUCCCAAAGUGCUGGGAUUACAGGCGUGAGCCACUGCGCUCGGCUUUUCACCCCUUUCUAACGUUUUCCAUCCCUUUCUAACGUUUUCCAUACCCAGCGGUGCCCUGCCCACCCUCUCUUUAUCUCUCACUUUUCCCUCCUCUGUUUCUUCCUCGCUGAAGUCCAUUGGUGAAAGAAAAUUCAUGUGAAAGUUCUCAGAGUCGUCCUUGUCUACUCCACUACCAAAUGUUGAAGUUCUUCAAGAAUCAGUCCUUUGGAGCAAAGAUUACAUGACAAGGAAAAACCAGAAAAGUAUGGCCCAUACACAGGUAAAAAAAGAAAUUAAUAGAAACUACCCCUGAAGAAGCACAGACUUCGGAUGUACAAAACAAAGACUUUUCAUCAACUCUUUUAGAUAUGCUAGAAGAGCUAAAGGAAACCAUGGACAGAGAACAAAAAAAUUAGGAAAGCAAUGUCUCAUCCAAUACAGAAUAUCAAUAAAGAGAUUGAAAUUGUAGAAAAGAACCAAAUAGAAAUUCUGGAGUUGAAAAGUAUUAUAACUAAAACUGAAAAUUCACUAGAGGUAUUCAGCAGCAGACUGGAGAAGUCAGAAGAAAGAAUCAACAGGCUUCAAGAUAGGUCAAUUAAGAUUAUACAGUCUGAGGAGCAGAAAGGAAAAAGAAUGAAGAAAAAUGAACAGAGCAUAAAAGACCUCUGGGACUCUAUCAAGCAUACCAGUAUAUGCAUGAGGGGAGUCCCAGAAGGAGAAGAAAGAGAGAAAGGGACAUAAUAUUUGAAGAAAUAAUGGUAGAAAAUGUCCCAGCUUUGAUGAAAUACAUGAAUCUAGAUAUUCAAGAGGCUCAAAGAACCCUAAAUAGGGUAAACUCAAAAAGACCCACACCGGAAUGCAAAAGUGAGCUGGGUGUGGUGGCACGUGCCUGUGGUCCCAGCUACUCGAGAGGCUAAGGCAGGAAAAUCGCUUGAACCCAGGAGGCAGAGAUUGCGGUGAGCCGGGAUUGCGCCAGUGCACUCCAGCUGGGCGACAGAGCGAGAUUCCAUCUCGAAAAAAAAAAAAAAAAAAAAAAAAAACUAUUGCUGCAGUCAUUCAGAUGGAAAUGGGGAAAGAAUAAUAUUAACUGAUUUCAAAAAGGACUUGAAGAUGUGAAUCAUCUAUUUUGCUGAAGAAAUCUUAACUCUUUGAAAUUACUUUUUGUUGCUGUUGUCAUACUCUUAGGUGCCAAACUGCGGUAAAUUUUUUAUCAGUGAAGUGGAAGCAUGUGUUUUGUUGUUUUGGGAAUUUUUAUCAAGUAUCUUCAGAGAAGAUUAUUUCCUGCUUUAUCUUCAAAAACUGGAAAGGAAGGGUCAAAGAAAAGACAGUAGCUGGCCGGUCAUGGUGGCUCAUGCCUGUAAUCCCAACACUUUGGGAGGCUGAGGUGGGCAGAUCACCUGAGGUUGGGAGUUCGAGGCCAGCCUGACCAACGUGGAGAAAUGCCAUCUCUACUAAAGAUGCAAGGAUUGGCCGGGCGUGGUGGUGCGUGCCUGUGAUCCCAGCUGCUCAGGAGGCUGAGGCAGGAGAAUCGCUUGGACCUGGGAGGUGGAGGUUGCGGUGAGCUGAGAUCACGCCAUUGCACUCCAGCCUGGGCAACAAGCGAAACUCUGUCUCAAAAAAAAAGAAAAGACAGUAGCUUAUGUUCAUGUCAAGCACCUCUCAUCACAGUCUAGUUCCAAGGAAAAAAUUCCCAGCGUUUUCUACAUUCGGUGCUGCGUCAUCUGAAAUCGGCACAUUCCAUGGAGGAAGGAGUCCUGCUUUGUUGCAUGUAUCCUAGGGUUUAAUGUUGGUAAAUGAGUCACUCUAGCAUUUGUAGAAGGCUCCCUGAGACUCCUGCAGCAGUCGACCAAGCCCAAGGACAUAAUUGAAUCUGGAGAGUCCUGGGGCCUUGUUUUGAAAAAGACUUGAAAUACACAUAGGAAGAAAGGCAUAAAAAUAAAUGUUCACUUGUCUCUGCUGUGAGUAUGUGUUCCAACUUUUCAGUGAUGGCUUUGAGAAUUCUCAAACUUGACUGGCUCUAAGUGUAUCUGGUGGCUUUUGUAUCGUAACCUGAAACUGGCUUAGUACUUUUUCCUAAAAGCUCAGGAUUUGAGAAUGAGGACCCCUUCGCCAGGAAAACAUGUAUACACUCAAAAUUUUGCUUGCAGUUCUAGGGUGUUUAGACCUUUCUCAGAUACCUGUGCAUCUUAUGGGUUUUGUUUUUCUCUUUGAGACAGUCUCACCCUGUUGCCCAGGCUGGAGUGCAGUGGCAUGGUCUCAGCUCAUUGCAGCCUCCGCCUCCUGGGUUCAGGUGGUUCUGCCUCAGCCCCUUGAUCGGCUGGGAUUGCAUGCAUGUGCCACCAUGCCCGGCUCAUUUUUGUAUUUUUAGUGGAGAUGGAGACAGAGUUUCACCAUGUUGGCCGGGCUGGUCUUGGGCUCCUGACCUCAGGUGAUC